rnacentral:rRNA from 1 species
UUAACAGGAUUAGAUACCCUGGUAGUCCACGCCGUAAACGAUGUCGACUUGGAGGUUGUGCCCUUGAGGCGUGGCUUCCGGAGCUAACGCGUUAAGUCGACCGCCUGGGGAGUACGGCCGCAAGGUUAAAACUCAAAUGAAUUGACGGGGGCCCGCACAAGCGGUGGAGCAUGUGGUUUAAUUCGAUGCAACGCGAAGAACCUUACCUGGUCUUGACAUCCACAGAACUUUCCAGAGAUGGAUUGGUGCCUUCGGGAACUGUGAGACGGGUGCUGCAUGGCUGUCGUCAGCUCGUGUUGUGAAAUGUUGGGUUAAGUCCCGCAACGAGCGCAACCCUUAUCCUUUGUCGCCAGCGGUCCGGCCGGGAACUCAAAGGAGACUGCCAGUGAUAAACUGGAGGAAGGUGGGGAUGACGUA